rnacentral:rRNA from 1 species
AACGAACGCUGGCGGCAGGCUUAACACAUGCAAGUCGAACGCACCGCAAGGUGAGUGGCAGACGGGUGAGUAACGCGUGGGAACGUGCCCUUCAGUUCGGGAUAACCCAGGGAAACUUGGGCUAAUACCGGAUACGUGCGAGAGCAGAAAGAUUUAUCGCUGAAGGAUCGGCCCGCGUCUGAUUAGCUAGUUGGUGAGGUAAUGGCCCACCAAGGCGACGAUCAGUAGCUGGUCUGAGAGGAUGAUCAGCCACAUUGGGACUGAGACACGGCCCAAACUCCUACGGGAGGCAGCAGUGGGGAAUAUUGGACAAUGGGCGCAAGCCUGAUCCAGCCAUGCCGCGUGGAGGUAGAAGGCCUACGGGUCGUGAACUUCUUUUCCCGGAGAAGAAGCAAUGACGGUAUCUGGGGAAUAAGCAUCGGCUAACUCUGUGCCAGCCGCCGCCGUAAUAC